UACGUAGGGGGCAAGCGUUGUCCGGAAUUACUGGGCGUAAAGCGUGCGCAGGCGGCGCCGCAAGUCGAGUGUGAAAUCCCCGGGCUUAACUUGGGAAUUGCGCUCGAAACUACUUGGCUCGAGUGUGGCAGAGGAAGGUGGAAUUCCAGGUGUAGCGGUGAAAUGCGUAGAGAUCUGGAGGAACACCGAUGGCGAAGGCAGCCUUCUGGGCCAACACUGACGCUCAUGCACGAAAGCGUGGGGAGCAAACAGG
rnacentral:rRNA from 1 species